AUACGUAGGGUGCGAGCGUUGUCCGGAAUUACUGGGCGUAAAGAGCUCGUAGGUGGUUUGUCGCGUCGUCUGUGAAAUUCCGGGGCUUAACUCCGGGCGUGCAGGCGAUACGGGCAUAACUUGAGUACUGUAGGGGAGACUGGAAUUCCUGGUGUAGCGGUGAAAUGCGCAGAUAUCAGGAGGAACACCGGGGGCGAAGGCGGGUCUCGGGGCAGUAACUGACGCUGAGGAGCGAAAGCAGGGGUAGCGAACAGGAUUAGAUACCCUGGUAUACCAUGCCGUAAACGGUGGGCGCUAGGUGUAGGGGUCUUCCACGACUUCUGUGCCGUAGCUAACGCAUUAAGCGCCCCGCCUGGGGAGUACGGCCGCAAGGCUAAAACUCAAAGGAAUUGACGGGG
rnacentral:rRNA from 1 species